GACGAACGCUGGCGGCGUGCUUAACACAUGCAAGUCGAACGGAAAGGCCCUGCUUUUGUGGGGUGCUCGAGUGGCGAACGGGUGAGUAACACGUGAGCAACCUGCCCUUGACUUUGGGAUAACUUCAGGAAACUGGGGCUAAUACCGGAUAGGAGCCCCUGCUGCAUGGUGGGGGUUGGAAAGUUUCGGCGGUUGGGGAUGGACUCGCGGCUUAUCAGCUUGUUGGUGGGGUAGUGGCUUACCAAGGCUUUGACGGGUAGCCGGCCUGAGAGGGUGACCGGCCACAUUGGGACUGAGAUACGGCCCAGACUCCUACGGGAGGCAGCAGUGGGGAAUAUUGCACAAUGGGCGGAAGCCUGAUGCAGCAACGCCGCGUGCGGGAUGACGGCCUUCGGGUUGUAAACCGCUUUCGCCUGUGACGAAGCGUGAGUGACGGUAAUGGGUAAAGAAGCACCGGCUAACUACGUG
rnacentral:rRNA from 1 species